rnacentral:tRNA from 1 species
GGAGGGGUGGCAGAGUGGUUGAAUGCGGCGGUCUCGAAAACCGUUUCAGGCCUGAUUGGUCUGACGAGGGUUCGAAUCCCUCCCCCUCCG